UACAGAGGGUGCGAGCGUUGUUCGGAAUUAUUGGGCGUAAAGGGCGCGUAGGCGGUCAGCACAAGUCAGUUGUGAAAUCUCCGGGCUUAACUCGGAAAGGUCAACUGAUACUGUGCGACUAGAGUGCGGAAGGGGCAACUGGAAUUCUCGGUGUAGCGGUGAAAUGCGUAGAUAUCGAGAGGAACACCUGCGGCGAAGGCGGGUUGCUGGGCUGACACUGACGCUGAGGCGCGAAAGCCAGGGGAGCGAACGGG
rnacentral:rRNA from 1 species